ensembl:piRNA 21ur-3124 ncRNA
UCAGAUACUGGUCCUUGGAAA